rnacentral:snoRNA from 1 species
UGGCAUUGAUGAUAAAAAGGCCGGACUUACGGCUGCCACAAUAGUGUUGGUAGUAGAUUGAUGAAAGUUUAGGUGAGGUAUAUUUCUGAGCCAG